rnacentral:rRNA from 1 species
AGCAGCCGCGGUAAUUCCAGCUCCAAUAGCGUAUAUUAAAGUUGUUGCAGUUAAAAAGCUCGUAGUUGAACUUCGGGGUUCACCCAUUGGUCAGGCUUAAUUGUCUGCACUGGUGAGAUGAGUCUCUACCUUCUGAGGAACUUUCAUGCCAUUUAUUUGGUGUGGUUGGAAAUCAGGACUGUUACUUUGAAAAAAUUAGAGUGUUUAAAGUAGGCUAACGUCUGAAUACAUUAGCAUGGAAUAAUGAAAUAGGACGGACUGAUUCUAUUUCGUUGGUUUCUAGGAUCACCGUAAUGAUUAAUAGGGAUAGUUGGGGGCAUUAGUAUUCAAUUGUCAGAGAUGAAAUUCUUGAAUUUAUUGAAGACUAACUACUGCGAAAGCAUUUGCCAAGGAUGUUUUCAUUAAUCAAGAACGAAAGUUAAGGAUCGAAGACGAUCAGAUACCGUCGUAGUCUUAACACUAAACUAACUAGUCGACCGUAACGGUAGUACGGUACGGAAACGGUUAAAUUUUAAUUUAA